AAACGCUGACAGAAUGCUUAACACAUGCAAGUCUAUGAGGAAGUUUAGCUUGCUAAAUGGACUCAUGGCGGACGGGUGAGUAACGCGUAAAGAACUUGCCCUUUUAGACUGGGAUAACAGAGGGAAACUUCUGAUAAUACUGGAUAAGUUAGUAUAUCACAUGAUAUGCAAAAUGAAAAGCUACGGGCACUAAAGGGAGAGCUUUGCGUCCUAUUAGCUAGUUGGUAAGGUAAGAGCUUACCAAGGCGAUGAUAGGUAGCCGGCCUGAGAGGGUGGACGGCCACAAGGGGACUGAGAUACGGCCCUUACUCUUACGGGAGGCAGCAGUGGGGAAUAUUGGACAAUGGAGGGAACUCUGAUCCAGCAAUUCUGUGUGUGUGAAGAAGGUUUUAGGACUGUAAAACACUUUUAGUAGGGGAAGAAAAAAAUGACGGUACCUACAGAAGAAGCAACGGGCUAAAAUACGUGCCAGCAGCCGCGGGUAAAU
rnacentral:rRNA from 1 species